UCCCCAAUUAAGCUGUAAGCAACCUGGGGUUGGGAAUGGUAGCAGGACUUCUUUCCCACAUUUCUCACAGGAACCUCAAACCCUUGCCCAUGCCCAGAAUAAGUUAUCCCCCACAAGGAUUUCCUUUCUCAAUGAGUAAUACUACUCACCAUGUAUUUGUGAAAGCCAAAAAUCUGGGAUUCAACCUUAGUGCCUUCCUUACCCUCAUAUCUAAUUAAUGAUUCCUGUCAAUUCAAUCUCCUAAUCAUCUUCCAAAUUUGUCUCUUCCUCUCCAACUGAGCAUGAUUCCCAUUACCAUACCACCACUGCCCAGUGUAUUCAGGACCAAUCUAACUCACUCCUCCCUGAAAACUCCAGAGCCAAUUCAUUUGCUGGACUAUAGUCUAGCCCUCUUCCAAUCCAUUUCUUCAUAUGGCUACCAGAGUGAGUAUUUUAAGAAAUAUAUCUAAUUCUUUAAAACUUUUCAAUGAUUUGCCAUUUAUCUUAUAUUAAAGACCAAAUUCCUUUAGGGGAGUUCAUAACCUAGUCCCUUGCUUAUCUCUCCAGUCACACACAAGGGAGUUCUCCCGUUGUUCUAGACACUCUAGCCAGAUUCUUCAUUCCUCUAAGGCUUUAGAGUACAUUAUAAUAUCAAUUAAGGCAAGUUCUCCAUCAUCCCAUUUUUGUUUUUGCUUUUCCAAAUUUAUCUUAGCUAUUCCAAACUGAAUGUAUUCUAUAUGGAUGUAUCCUUAAUUCUGUGUGUAUGUAUAUACACACAUAUACAGUAUAAAUAUAUACAUACAGUAUACACACAGGCACAUACUUUUUUUUUCUCAACAGUAUGUUCUUCUAGGUAAGUGUUAGAAUUACAUUUCCAAUUUACAUCUACCACUUAUUCUCAAAAUAACAAAAAAUUUUAAGACUGACCACAGC
rnacentral:lncRNA from 10 species